UAGGUAGGGGGCAAGCGUUGUCCGGAGUUAUUGGGCGUAAAGCGCGCGCAGGCGGUCUCUUAAGUCUGAUGUGAAAGCCCACGGCUCAACCGUGGAAGGUCAUUGGAAACUGGGAGACUUGAGUGUCGGAGAGGGAAGUGGAAUUCCAGGUGUAGCGGUGAAAUGCGUAGAGAUGGGGAGGAACAGCAGUGGCGAAGGCGACUUUCUGGCCUAUAACUGACGCUGAUGUGCGACAGCGUGGGGAGCUAGCAGG
rnacentral:rRNA from 1 species